AUUGAACGCUGGCGGCAUGCUUUACACAUGCAAGUCGAACGGCAGCGCGGGCUUCGGCCUGGCGGCGAGUGGCGAACGGGUGAGUAAUGCAUCGGAACGUGCCCAGUAGUGGGGGAUAGCCCGGCGAAAGCCGGAUUAAUACCGCAUACGACCUGAGGGUGAAAGCGGGGGACCGAAAGGCCUCGCGCUAUUGGAGCGGCCGAUGUCGGAUUAGCUAGUUGGUGGGGUAAAGGCUUACCAAGGCGACGAUCCGUAGCUGGUCUGAGAGGACGACCAGCCACACUGGGACUGAGACACGGCCCAGACUCCUACGGGAAGCAGCAGUGGGGAAUUUUGGACAAUGGGGGCAACCCUGAUCCAGCCAUGCCGCGUGCGGGAAGAAGGCCUUCGGGUUGUAAACCGCUUUUGUUCGGGAAGAAAUCCUCUGGGCUAAUACCCCGGGGGGAUGACGGUACCGGAAGAAUAAGCACCGGCUAACUACG
rnacentral:rRNA from 1 species